UGUCAAAAUUUGUCAGCUUCAGCUACAUCCCUAAUAUGUAGUUGAAAUUACAAUGAAGUAUCUGUGCAACUACAGCAGUACAGUUUCCUGAGAAUUAAUCUUUACAAAUAAGGAACCAGAGUCUGUGUGUGUGUGUGUGUGUGUGUGUGUGUGUCAUUCUUGUGAUUCUCAUGUCUCUUCCUGAAAGAAAACAGGAAGCAGGUUUCACUUGUUUUACAGAAGUUAAAGAAAUUUCAGAGCUGCUGUUCAAUACAACGGUACAGAGGAGGAAAUAGAAAUAUCUAGAAAUAUUGUUUGAGGUAUCUCAACUCGACUGUACUCUCUCAACUUGACUUUUGAAGUCGCUGGAGGAAGAUCUGAAGACGUUUCAGUGGCACUUAAAGAAACAUAAGUGAAUAUCAACAUCUGAAAUGGAGGAUGCAGAUUGAUUAAAAACAGUGGAUAAGCUGGUGGCGUGUGACCAGAAGAAGCUGUGACGAUCACAUUCAGCAUCCUGAAGAAGAUGGAACAGAACAAUCUGGCUGAGCAGCUGGAUAACAAACACAUGCAUGCUGACAAAUCUCCAGUCCAGAUAAUAAGCAGUGCUCAGCCUGGAGCCAAUGUGAAAGCUGAAACAGGUGCAAGUGUAAAUGCUCCUGUACUCGCUGGAAGCACCUUCACUGGACCAAUACACUUCAACUACAGCUCACAUGCUGCAGGAAACGAUAAACAUAUAUGCUCAGAGACAGCAGAGAAUAACAGAGAAAAACAAGGUAAACCUUUCAUGUAUGAAAAUUUAUUGUGCACCUGCUACAAUUAUAUUACUGAGUCCAUCUCCCCAUUUACAUAUCUGAUUUAACAGUAAUGAAUGUGAUGAAUUAUCAUUGCAUUGAUGCAUUUGGUGUUAUUAUUGAAUAACAUAAUAUAGGCUAUUUAAUGUGCAUAUUUUAUAUCACUUUUUAGAUAGACUGGAAUCUGUGCAGGAAUACAUAUUUAGUCUAUGAACGUGGAGGCAAAAGUGCAGCUACUCUGAUUUGAUUGCCAUUUUAGCAAUAGCAGGAGGAUCCUUGUUAUAGGGCCUCUGUCUACAUAUUUCAUUUAACAGUAAGCUCAGAAAAUUCAUGUAGGCAAAUGGCCAGCACACAUCUCAUAACUGUAAGAAAAUGAACAGUAAAAAAAAAAAGAAAAGAAAAGAAAAAAACCAUUGGAGAACAACUCUAAAACAAGCAACAAACAAACUAAAACUCUACUAAAUCAUUUGCAUUUUGGUGCAGAGUCUUUCACUGCAGCUUUAUUGUUGAUUUUGCAAGCACAGACAUCAUCAGUGCUAAACUGGACAGUCUUCUAACAUUGUGCUCUGGAGAAAUGUCUUGAUCAUUUUCAGUUUCGAGAAUGAACGACAGCAAUUGCAUGUCAAAGCAUUUAUAUUCUGGGCUCUUCUGCAGAGUUUGAUCUUUUAAUAUCAUUGUCUUAAUGAGUAAGCCAUGUUAAGCAUAAAAAUAUGCACUUCGAUAAUGGUGCUGUUGUCUUAGAAGUAAGCCUAUAGUGUUUAUGACAAGUGAAAUGUGAGAGAAAAUUUAUUUUCCCUGGUAGUUGUUUCAGAACAUCACUAAGCCACAUGCGCUUUUCCACUCCACUGCGCUACCUUUGCACUCGCAUCUCGUGUUUUUUCAGUGUCUCAAGCAUGACACUGAAGCAAUACUUUCGUUACAGUACUUGAAUACAUUUUUCUUUUCUUUUUUCUACUUUCUUUAAUAAUUAAAUUGUGGUUCUUUUACUUGAGUUGAAUACAAAUAAAGUAUUCAACUUCGCUACA
ensembl:lncRNA